GUUCUCUUACCUAGUUAAUCAAGUUCAACACAAUGCCAUAGAAUAUGCAUUUGCAGCGCUAGCACACUUCUUCCACAGUUUUCAAUUUCAGCCAUAAUUGCUCCGUUACCGCCAUACGCUUACACGUCAGGGAGAGGUCUGACUUCGGCCAAUAGCGGCUUGCCACACGCGCGCGGCUGUUACAAUGCCCGCCGUUGGCCGGAGAAUGACGAUUCGUUCAGCGAGUGUUGUGAACGAGCCGGUGAACGGUUAAAAGAGGCUUAUGAGCAAGGUGACCUGAAGCUUGCUCUCCUCUCUCACACACCCCCCAACACCAAGAUCAAGCCCUAGAGACAGCAGUCAACCGGGGUCACUGCUGCUGAAGUAGUGAAAUACCGUCACACACUGAAGGGUUGUAUGACGUUACCUGGCACCUGUCUGGGCCAAUCAGAAAGCAGCGUUAACCCAGGUGUGACUGAGCACAGUGCUGCCCCUGGGUUUGAUGUUUGUUGAUAAGAGGGCAGAGACUCGACGGGGAGUUCAGUCUGAACCGGCUGCCUGUAGAUGAGCUUGUUUGUGUUGAAGAGUGUGUUAUUAUCGUCUCUGGACCCUUAGAAUUUGCACUUCUGCACUAAUACCAAAGUAAUCACUGUUGCUGUAAAAAACAAAUAAUGCGAAUUCGAAAGGGCCUUUGGGGGCCACUUUGGUAACCAUAACAACGUGUGUGUGACUGGACAUGGAAAAGUUCAGCUUUGUUGCGGGUAUUUGAGACCCCCCCCCAAUCUGCCGUCUCAUAUAUAUAUAUAUAUAUAUAUAUAUAUAUAUAUAUAUAUAUAUAUAUAUAUAUAUAUAUAUAUAUAUAUAUAUAUAUAUAAAAUCUAUUUAUCAAUGGAAGUGGGGGGGUUCUUAACAGAGACAGAGCAAUGUUCGAAGGAUAAUAUAAGUUGGCGGUACUAUAAAAGGUUUCAUGUGAUUUGUUCAUAGUAAUUAAAAUGGCACAAUGUGUUUCAAGGCACGGACACCUUUAAUGUCUUUUCACUGUUGAGCCAAGUUGUGUCUGUCCACGGGUGGGGUCGCCAAGGUGUCUGCCGUGGGUGACCUUCACCCGGUACGUAUGGGUUUCGCUCUUGUCGGUUGUUGUGUUCUCUCGCUUUGAAAGGUUUACAUUUUGUAGCACUUAACUGCACAUCCGAAUCACUAGGGGGCCCUAAUGUUCACGGAUCUUAGAUGAGUUUUAAAUGUUGUGGUCGUCCCCUGAUAUCCUAACCUACAUCAUCAGUGCAUUCGAGCUCAAAUGGAAAACGCAAGCGUGUGUUGCUUUGCAGAUGGCUGGAUGGCUGUUGGAUCUAGGCUGGCAAAUUCUUAAAAAGAAAAAUUCAGACAAAUUCCUUUACACCGGUCCAUAAAAUACAGACUUUGAGCCAAUACAGAUUCAUUUCAACCAACUAUACCUCCGCGCUGUCACAGUUUUCACCAACCGUGUCACUAUUGUCACAACGUUUUCCAAUGACUCUUUGUUGGCGUCUCAACGUUAUGCUUUAUUUAAAGGUUUUUGAUCUUUAUCUUCCUUUACUCAUUCUUUGGUGAUGAGGAGUAACAUUCUUACGAAAGAUAUCGGUUGUAGUCGAAAUUGUAUGUGUAAACAGAUUGAAAUUGAACUUUUACAAUUGAAGCGAUUUUAUUUUUGCACACUUAAAUCAUAGAAGAGAAUAGGCUCUUAUUUUGAUGAGAAACAGUGUCGAAUGACGCUGUUUAAGAGGUUUGGAUGAAAAUAAUAAGAAAACACCAUCUUCUCAAUUUUGUAUAAGUCUUUAUUAUACAUAUACUACAUGUUUCUUUUGCUAAAGACUGCGAUUGAAAAUGUUUGUAUUUUUUUUGGCUUACCGUACAGUUCAUCUCGACUGAGAUCAAAGAUAAAUAAAAUAAAGACGAUUUUAACAACACCC
ensembl:lncRNA